rnacentral:rRNA from 1 species
CCUACGGGAGACAGCAGUGGGGAAUAUUGGACAAUGGGGGGAAACCCUGAUCCAGCGACGCCGCGUGAGUGAAGAAGUAUUUCGGUACGUAAAGCUCUAUCAGCAGGAAAGAAAAUGACGGUACCUGACUAAGUAGCCCCGGCUAACUACGUGCCAGCAGCCGCGGUAAUACGUAGGGGGCAAGCGUUAUCCGGAUUUACUGGGUGUAAAGGGAGCGUAGACGGCAGCGCAAGUCUGGAGUGAAAUGUCGGGGCCCAACCCCGGAACUGCUCUGGAAACUGUGAAGCUGGAGUGCAGGAGAGGUAGGCGGAAUUCCUGGUGUAGCGGUGAAAUGCGUAGAUAUCAGGAAGAACACCGGCGGCGAAGGCAGCUUACUAAACUGUAACUGACGUUGAGGCUCGAAGGCGUGGGGAGCAAACAGGAUUAGAUACCCUUGUAGUC